AUUGAACGCUGGCGGCAGGCCUAACACAUGCAAGUCGAGCGGAUGACGGGAGCUUGCUCCUGGAUUCAGCGGCGGACGGGUGAGUAAUGCCUAGGAAUCUGCCUGGUAGUGGGGGACAACGUUUCGAAAGGAACGCUAAUACCGCAUACGUCCUACGGGAGAAAGCAGGGGACCUUCGGGCCUUGCGCUAUCAGAUGAGCCUAGGUCGGAUUAGCUAGUUGGUGAGGUAAUGGCUCACCAAGGCGACGAUCCGUAACUGGUCUGAGAGGAUGAUCAGUCACACUGGAACUGAGACACGGUCCAGACUACUACGGGAGGCAGCAGUGGGGAAUAUUGGACAAUGGGCGAAAGCCUGAUCCAGCCAUGCCGCGUGUGUGAAGAAGGUCUUCGGAUUGUAAAGCACUUUAAGUUGGGAGGAAGGGUUGUAGAUUAAUACUCUGCAAUUUUGACGUUACCGACAGAAUAAGCACCGGCUAACUCUGUGCCAGCCGCCGCAGUAACAC
rnacentral:rRNA from 1 species